GACGUAGGGCGCGAGCGUUGUCCGGAUUUAUUGGGCGUAAAGAGCUCGUAGGCGGCUUGUCGCGUCGACUGUGAAAACCCGCGGCUCAACUGCGGGCUUGCAGUCGAUACGGGCAGGCUAGAGUCCGGAAGAGGAGAGUGGAAUUCCUGGUGUAGCGGUGAAAUGCGCAGAUAUCAGGAGGAACACCGAUGGCGAAGGCAGCUCGCUGGGACGGUACUGACGCUGAGACGCGAAAGCGUGGGGAGCAAACAGG
rnacentral:rRNA from 1 species